AGCGCUUGGGCAUAGCCAGUCGAAAGAUUGGAUAAUUCCCAAUGGUCUGCGCAUCUCAUUAAGGUAAAGUGUUUAAAAAGCAAAAAUUAAAUAUCAAAGACCAAAACCACAGAGUAAAAAUUUUCAAACGAUAGAUUUUAUAGUUUUUGAUUUGUGGUUUUGAAUUUUGGUUUUUGAAUUUUGGUUAAGCACUUUAAGCACUGAACUUUAGUGAGGUGCGCAGUAAAGGAUACAGCAAUGUAUUCGGCGCUUGAUUGGCCUAGAUCCGAUCAGCUAGUUGGUGAGGUAAUGGCUCACCAAGGCUAUGACCGGUAGGAGGGCUGAGAGGCUGUCCUCCAACGACGGCACUGAGACACGGGCCGUACACCUACGGGUGGCAGCAGUCGAGAAUAUUCCACAAUGGGCGAAAGCCUGAUGGAGCGACGCCGCGUGCGGGAAGAAGGUCUUCGGAUUGUAAACCGCUUUUAACUGGGGAAAAGUCCUGCUUUUAGUGGGAUUGAUGGUACCAGUUGAAUAAGGGGUUGCUAACUCUGUGCCAGCAGCAGCGGUAAUACAGAGACCCCAAGCGUUAUCCGGAUUUAUUGGGCGUAAAGAGCGGGUAGGAGGUCUGGCGCGUUUAUUGUUAAAUUCCAGAGCUUAACUUUGGAACCGCAAUGAAUACGGCUGGACUAGAGGGUGUUAGAGGCAGAUGGAACGCACGGUGUAGGGGUGAAAUCCGUUGAUAUCGUGCGGAACACCAAAGGCGAAGGCAUUCUGCUGGGACGUUCCUGACUCUGAGCCGCGAAAGCGUGGGUAGCAAAAAGGAUUAGAUACCCUUGUAGUCCACGCCCUAAACGAUGUCCGCUAGCUGUUUCGAGUGUCGACCCUCGGAGUGGCGAAGCUAACGCGUUAAGCGGACCGCCUGGGAAGUACGGCCGCAAGGCUAAAACUCAAAGGAAUAGACGGGGACUCGCACAAGCGGUGGAGCAUGAGGUUUAAUUCGACGGUAAACGAGGAACCUUACCAGGGCUUGAAAUCCUGACGAAGAUCGUCCGAAAGGAUGGUCGUCUCUCAAGGACGGCAGGACAGGUGCUGCAUGGUUGUCGUCAGCUCGUACUUUGAAGCGUUCCCUUAAGUGGGGUAACGAGCGCAACCCCUGUUCCGAGUUAUAAGUGUCUCGGAAGACUGCCCUCAUUAGGGGGAGGAAGGCGGGGAUGACGUCAAAUCCGCAUGGCCCUUUGAUGCCCUGGGCCACACUCAUGCUACAAUGGUCGGUACAAUGGGUUUGCCAAGCCGCAAGGCGGAGCUAAUCCCAUCAAAGCCGACCUCAGUUCGGAUUGAGGGCUGAAACUCGCCCUCAUGAAGCUGGAAUCGCUAGUAAUCGCGCAUCAGCCAUGGCGCGGUGAAUACGUUCUCGAGUCCUGUACUCACCGCCCGUCACUGCAAGGGAGCCGGGAGUGCCUGAAGUCUCGCUUAGGCGGGAUUAAGGUAAGUUCGGUGACAUGGCAGAAGUCGUAACAAGGCACGCGUAGCGGAAGCUGUGCGUG
rnacentral:rRNA from 1 species